GGGCCCGACGUCGCAUGCUCCCGGCCGCCAUGCGGCCGCGGGAAUUCGAUUAGAGUUUGAUCCUGGCUCAGAUUGAACGCUGGCGGCAGGCCUAACACAUGCAAGUCGAGCGGCAGCGGGGGGAAGCUUGCUUCCCCGCCGGCGAGCGGCGGACGGGUGAGUAAUGUCUGGGGAUCUGCCCGAUGGAGGGGGAUAACCACUGGAAACGGUGGCUAAUACCGCAUAACCUCUUUGGAGUAAAGUGGGGGACCUUCGGGCCUCACGCCAUCGGAUGAACCCAGAUGGGAUUAGCUAGUAGGUGGGGUAAUGGCUCACCUAGGCGACGAUCCCUAGCUGGUCUGAGAGGAUGACCAGCCACACUGGGACUGAGACACGGCCCAGACUCCUACGGGAGGCAGCAGUGGGGAAUAUUGCACAAUGGGCGCAAGCCUGAUGCAGCCAUGCCGCGUGUAUGAAGAAGGCCUUCGGGUUGUAAAGUACUUUCAGCGGGGAGGAAGGCAACAGCGUGAAUAGCGCUGUUGAUUGACGUUACCCGCAGAAGAAGCACCGGCUAACUCCGUGCCAGCAGCCGCGGUAAUACGAAUCACUAGUGAAUUCGCGGCCGCCUGCAGGUCGACCAUAGGGAGAGCUCCCA
rnacentral:rRNA from 1 species